rnacentral:misc_RNA from 1 species
UUCAGGAGAAAAAAAUUGGUUAAUCGAAGUAAAUAAACCUACAAGCACAUUACAAGCCCACAUUACAAUAAAAUUUUGUCCACGAUACACCGAGUUAGCCCAAAAUCUAAAUCGUUGGCGCUGUAAUUUUUGGGCUGAGUUCUAUGCGAGCCAGGACUAAAUAAUAAUUCACCAAAGAGAGGUAAGAAAUCCAAUUCAUCAUCACGUCACUCCAUUUCUUCUCUCAUUGAAUUACUAUUUUACCCCUCAAACUUACCUAACUUUCCUGUCCUUUUUCGUCAACCCAAAACAUCUUUCCAAAUCCCACCUUCCGUCUAUGCUCACACUCUCCCAACCAGAAG